rnacentral:rRNA from 1 species
GAAACCGGAGCUAAUACCGGAUAAUAUAUUUAACCGCAUGGUUCAAUAGUGAAAGACGGUUUUGCUGUCACUUAUAGAUGGAUCCGCGCCGCAUUAGCUAGUUGGUAAGGUAACGGCUUACCAAGGCAACGAUGCGUAGCCGACCUGAGAGGGUGAUCGGCCACACUGGAACUGAGACACGGUCCAG